rnacentral:lncRNA from 1 species
UUGCAUAAAAAUUUAUGUCAUAAUGACAUAAAUUUCGAUCGUGACAUAAAAUCAUGCAUAGCUUAUGUCGUUGACAUAAAUUUCGUUGCAUAAAAAUAUUUAUGUAUUGUUUUAGCUUAUGACGCGAUUUAAUCAUCAUUACAUAAACUGAAUAGUCAUGAACGAGCCUGUUGACAUAAACUUGGCAUAAGUUGUCAUUUUUCAGCCGCAGGAAGCUCUUGCGAAAAAGGGUCUUCGGCUUUCUAUUUGGACGGGAUAGAGGCCUAUUUUGGUGACCCACACAAACGGUGAGAAGAGGUAAAGAGAGAAAGGGGCACAGCAACUGGAAGGAGAGGGAAGUCCAGACACUCUACCACUGUCUGCGAUUGAAUAAGAAAUUUCUCUUUGGAUCAGGGGGUCAAGCUUCUAGUAUGAAGAUUGUUCAAGACUCAAGACUGUUGAAGAGGUGACGUCAUGGACCUGGUAGCACCUGGCAAGGGAACUAAAUUAUAUUACUGUUCA